GAGGGUAUAGCUCAGUGCUGGAGUGCAUGCCUAGCAUGCACAAGGUCCUGUGUUCAAUUCCCAGUACCUCUG
rnacentral:tRNA from 1 species